rnacentral:lncRNA from 7 species
AUGGCGGGGAGAAGGGAAUGCUCUGCACCACAGCAGGGCACGCAGCAUGGCAGUAUCCCGACACUGCUGGGCCAUGUGGGGUUACUUCAGGCUGCUGGGCUGCUCUCCUCUGCAAAAGAAGCCCAGCCGAGCCUGCCUGCCCCACUGCCAAGCAGCUCCCUGCAGCCUGGGCCCUCCCUGACAUCGGAACUGAGAGCUGGGAAUCCAGAGUGGGGCUGGCACCAAGAGGAUGGGGUGGGCGGGGGACUGGGGGCAGCUGGGGCAGGGGGAGUCCUUCAGUAUGGGAAGGGGCAUCUGCAGGCCCAUGUUGGGAUCCUUGGGCAGUGUGGGGGACCCACAGCAGGGCUGGGGGAGUCUGGGGCUAGAGCAUGGGUCCUGAGUGGGGCUUGGGCUGGGCACAGUGAUGGGACAUCCCUGCCCUGUCGCUGUGGGCCUUUCCACAUUAAGGAAGGGCUGGAGCAGAAGCCACACCUGCUGCUGUUCCCUUGCUGCAGGAUGGAACAGAGAACCCCAAGCCAACCCCAAGAGGCCUGGUCGGAGAGGCCUAGGGCACUCCGCACCCCCAGGGCCCAGCAGGGGCCCGACGAGGUGUAUGAGGUGCAGCCCUUGCAGGGGCUCUUAGACUCAGGUGAGGGUCCUUCUGCCUCGGACAUGUCGCCACAGCAGGAGGAUCCCCUGAGCUGCAUCCGUGCCUGCUGCAUGUGCAGACCCCAGGUAGUGGGCACUCUGUGCUUCCCUGGCUGCCCCUGCCCGGCCGUGCCGAGAGGGUCCGGGGUCCCCCGAUGCCAGCACCUGUCCCUCCCCUCCCUGUCUCAGGCAGAGGCACAGAAGCUGAGCUUUCUGGCCUCCAUCUGCACCAUCUGCGAAGCUGCCCUUGAGGACAGCGGUGCGCAUUACCGGCUGUGCGUCUGCCCGCUGGAGGUAUCACCAUGCCCUCAGGAGCUGCUGCAGGAGGAGCCCGCCGAGCGCCUGGACACGGAGCUGCGGCAGCAGGCCCUCUGCCCUCUCUCCCCUCGCAGCAGAGCGUGGCUGCUUCCAGAGGAGCGGAAGAGCAGCCUCCUGCGGGCCUGCCUUGGCAGCGUCCUCCACCUCCCUCGCCACGAGGACACACAGGACCGGGAUGCUGCACUCUACAUGGAGACCAUGGAAGCCCUGCACCGCCUGCUGCAGGUGUUGGUGGGCAGCGCCGGCACCUCUGUCCUCAUGGAGCUGCAGAACAUCUUGGAGCUCCUGCUGCCCUUCACCACGUGCCAGCUGGCAGCUGUGGAGGAGAGGGCCAUGGCGUGCAUUGCCAGGCUGCUCGCCUUCAGCAACACCUGCCCCUUGCCCGAGGUGUGCUCCUGCUUCACAGGAGCUGUGGUGCUCCGGCAUCAGUGCACAGAGAACCAACGCUUCCCUGUGCUGGGGAAACUGUCUGAACACCUCAUCUGUGGAGCUGCAGCACAGGAUGGGAGGACCAGAGAUGAGGCAAUGAAGGCUGUCCAUCAGCUUUUCAUUUUCAUCACCUCCCAAAGUGAGAGGAGUUGUGUUGGGUCCCUCCUGACCCCCAGGUGCCCAGGCCCCUCACUGACAUUGUGUGUGCUCCUCUCCAGGAAUGUGGAUGUGGCAGAAGGAUCCCAAGAAACCACAACUUUGGGAGGGCCAGCAAAUUUUGCUCCUCCAGGAGGUUUCCCAAGAGAACAAUGCCAGAAAUAUCUUUGAGGUACAAAGAGCAAACCCUGAGCCCACAGGAGAACCCAGGCCUGCAGCGUCAGGAAGAGUGCAGGCACUGUCCCCGAGCAGCCCUGGUGCAUGUAGGGCCCUCCUGCUCUGUACCCCAGGCAUCACCCAGCCCAACCCCUGCUCCCAGCUCUACUGAGGCACCAGCACAGACAAGCAGACAUGCAGGGGAUGAGUUGUUCCUUCUCUCCUUCCUCCCGCAGGUCCUUCUGAAAUACCUCCUGUAUCCUGAAAGGGUCAAUGUCUUCCUCACAGCCAUCGAGAGCAUGACAGUGCCGAGCCUCCACAGCACCGAGCUGGCUGCCCACAUGGUGGAUGUGCUCACAGCAGAGGCUCAUUUCCCUUCAGGGCAGGUGGGAACCUGCUGCUGCCAAGGCUCCAGACCUCGGGGCUCUGCUCCAGCCCUGGCACUGGCACCACCCUUGGCCAGCAGGCAGCAGUGGGGAUGGCAGCAGGGCCCUGCUCCAGUGCCAUCCCAUUCUCACCCGUGUCCCCCUCCAGGUGCGAAAGAUCGUGAAGGUGAUCUACAGCAGCCUGCCUUCCAUCACAGCCCAGCCGGCUCUAGAAAGCCUGGGCAGGGCCCUGCUCAUGCUGGCCAGCAAAUACCCCAGGGAGAUGGUUAGCAGCCUGCUGGGCUGCUCCCCCACCUGCACCAGGUAUGGGGCCCGCAGCCCUCAGGGCUCCUCUCCCCUCCCCACCCUACAGCCAUCAGCCAGGUGGGGGCAGCCACGCUGACAGCCCUGGGGACCCGCAGUGUCACCAUCACCAUGUGGAGGGAAAUGCUCUCAGAGUCCCCGGCCGUGGAGAAGGUGCUGCAGGAGCUGCUCCGAGUGCUCACAAACCAUUCCCUGAGGCACACGUCCCCAUCCAUCGAGGACUGGCCACGUGUACUCGCCCUGGCUGUGAGUUCCUCACUCAUCCAGCUCAGCCUGAGUCCUUGCUCCCCUUCCCUGUCCACCCCCAAGCCUGGUUCCUGCCCUGGGCACGGGGAUGCACCCCUAGACCUGCCUGGUGCUCUGGGGGUCUCCCUCCCCAUUUUUCACUCCAUCCCCACGCCUCUCGAGGUGGGCUGGAAACCUGGGGGACAGGGCAAGGACGGUGUCUGUGUGCUUUCUGCAGGCAGCAAGGAUCCUGCCUGAGAUAAUCCAGCUGCCUCUUGUCCUGAAGGAGGCUGAGGCCAUUUUCCCCCAGCUCUUCCUGGCUCUCCUCUUGCAAGUGUCCUUCACCAUGGAGCUGACACUGCAGGAGGUGGAAAUCUUCUGGGAGGUGCACCAGCAGCACCAUCUCACUCCCAUCAGGUGCCACAUCCCCAUCCCCCCGCUGCAUCCAGGGACCUGGUGCUGGGCUCCCAAUGUGACUCACACCCUUCUCCACCUGCAGGGCUGCGGUGCAGUCCUUGAAGGUGCUGCUCUGCGGUGUGGGCCUCCAGAAGCAA